rnacentral:misc_RNA from 1 species
GAUUCAGGAGACUUGUACACGGUCCAGAGGACGCCUUCCGGCGAUCCUCCGGCGGUCGUGAGACGGGCCCGCCGAAGCAACAGAGGGUUGGUAAACAACGGGUUGGGAGGUCGGGCCUUGGCAGACCCUCACUCGUUAAUGAUCCUUCCGCAGGUUCACCUACGGAAACCUUGUUACGACUUUUACUUCCUCUAAAAUGACCAAGAAU